rnacentral:lncRNA from 1 species
UUAGAAAAAACAAAGUCCUUAAUUUUCAAGUAUUAGCCCCCCAGAAGUUUCAGCAGAUAGCUGGACUCUUGAAUAAUGAUUUCUUUUGAUAUGUCUGACUUUGCUAUUUAAAGUCUCCUUUCCCAGCCCUCAGUCUUAAAACUCAGUUUUAUUACUGACGGAUUUAACAGACUCUUACUUGAAAAUUGUCCAAUUAUCAGUACUGAAAAUUAGAUUUGGAAAAUGAAAAAAUAAUAAAAUCGCAUCAAGAAAACUUAUUACCUUAGAGAUUCCCAAUUGAUAUCUGUACCCCUGAUCCAAGUAAGGCCUUUAUGAAUGUAUUUUAUAUUUCCUAAAGAAAUAGGGAAUAUGCCAUCAGUGUAAUCACCUCUAUUCACAGUCAUUUAAUUUGAAAAUCUAACUCAUGUCUCUUGAAUUAGACAUUCCAAUUGGGAUAGGUAGAGUCAUGUUAAAACAAUAGAAUAGCAACUGCCAUAUUGGUAGUUUCACUGCUCAAUAUGAUUUCUAAUAAGAGCAGAGCUUUAUUGGAAGCUAAAACUCAUUUUUCUCCAUAGAUGAUUCUAACAGUUUAAUAAAAAAGUAUAAUUAUACUUUAAGUGUCAACAGAUUUUGAGUCUAGAAGCAAAUUUCAUUUUCCUUGUGUUAUAUCUAAUAUCCAUUGACAUGGGUAAGAAAACUAAUUAUGUCUUUUUAGUAUGAUGAAAUGUGGGCCCAGAGUAUUGGAAAGAAAGCAAUAGCCCUAUUCAGUGUCCACUAGGAUGGAUAUUGCAGAAGGCAUGAGUUUGUCCUUUUUUCCCCCUUACCUUAAAUAACACUUCAAUAGCUAACUUUUUCCAAAAUAUCCAUUUAGGCCAUCUCUUAUUUCUUAAAGCCAAAUAUUUCGUCCCCAGUCUUAACUCUGAGUUGCAAGAUCAGGCUGGUUGGAAGAAUCUUUAUAUUUAGAAAUAGGAUGGUGAGUGGUUUGUUUAUUCUCUUGUAAAAUUCCUUUUUCAGAGACAUAACUGCAGGGAGAGUCCCAAGAGAACUGAAGAACUGGAUUAUAUCAUUAAACACAUUUGUGUUGUAGGAAUUUGGGAGUUUCAUUUUGAACUGAUAAGAUAUUAGACAUAAACCCUUGUUCCAGCCCACAUGUGUCAUCCCUGUGUACAAAAGCUCUCUGGAUUCUUUUUUUUUUUUUGAGACGGAGUUUCGCUCUUAUCGUCCAGGCUGGAGUGAGUGUAGUGGCUUGAUCUCAGCUCACUGCAACCUUUGCCUCCCGGGCUCAAGCGAUUCUCCUGCCUCAGCCUCCCAAGUAGCUGGGAUUACAAGCAUGUGCCACCAUGCCCAGCUAAUUUUCUGUAUUUUUAGUAGAGACGGGGUUUCACCAUGUUGGCCAGGCUGGUCUCGAACUCCUGACCUCAAGUGAUCUGCCCGCCUCAGCUUCCCAAAAUGCUGGAAUUACAGGCAUGAGCCAUCACGCCUAGCCUACUCUCUGAAUUUCUAAAAGUCAGUAGGUUGACCAAAAAGUCUAGAAACUGGCUUUAAGUCAGUAUGGGACGUACUUAUAAAGAGUCCAUGGUUUUGCACGUUUCGGUAGACAAGUAAAUCUGAGUUAUUUUUCAAUGACUUACCAAUAUUUGAAUAGUAACUAAGAUCGUCAGUGUAUCUGGACUUCUUUUUUUGAAGUUCUAAAACAAUUAUAGUAGGGAUUUAUUAUUUUGGGCCUCCAUCCAGAUGUUUUUCCAAGAUCAUUUUUAAAAUUCAUUUGUCUUCUGUUUCCAGAUAACAUACUUUCCGUUCUAUAGGAAUCUUCACUGCCAAUCAUAGUAUCUACCAGUGGCUUUCUUAGACUAUUCACUCCAAAGCUGGGACUGAUGUCCUGCCAGUAGAGAAUCUACAGAAAUAAUUUGAAUGAAUUAAAACCAAAUCUUGAUAGCAGGAGACAGCUUCCUGAUCUAGAUGUACAAUUAGAGUUUAGGUUGGAAAUUACUUUAAAAUGUGUUUUUUGGGGAUGUCUUCAAUCUCUGUGUAAAUACCCACAUGCUUAUGCAUUGUAAACCAAGUGUGUAUUCCUGUGUAUGAAUUUGUAGAACUGAUUUCUGCUUCAAGAGAAGCUGCACCUUUAAUUUUAUAAGGUCCCCUCCACCUGUAACCCUAUAAAUGUCUGUAAAUAAAACACUAAAAUUUGUAGUGAUAGGAUCAAUUUGGGAAUAUCUGCUGAGAGACCAAAAAGUUCAUUUUUUUAAGUACCUUGGUUAAAGAGUAAAGAUUAUUCCUCUUAUUUUUUAAAGAAGAAUGCACUUUAACAAACAUAGAGCUGCAUGGGCAAUUCAAACAAAUCUGUGAAGUGCAGUACCCAUUCAGAAAUCACACUUCCUGAAAACCGUUCAAAAGCAGAGUCCAGACGGGCUGUUGAUCUCACUGCCUGUAGGUUGAAGCUCAGAUUCUGAUCAAUUUUGAGAGGAGCAGGGCUGCUUCAAAAGAGCAAUGUGAAUACAGUCAGAAGCUUCAGACUGGUCUGUAAAAAUGGCGGGUCCCGUAUUUACCACUAACUAGCAAAACUGACAGAAAAACUCACAGAGAAAAAAUGUAAGAAUCCUUCCUGCUGGUGUGCACUCCUUACAAUAGACUUUUGCAAAUGGAGUUUUACAGUCUAUAUUUAAAAAAAAUUGUAUGUUUGUAACAAAUAAAGUAUGCAGAAAAGUG